GGUUCAAUCAUAAAAGGUGGCUUUUAGCUACCACUUACAGAUGGACCCGCGGCGCAUUAGCUAGUUGGUGAGGUAACGGCUCACCAAGGCGACGAUGCGUAGCCGACCUGAGAGGGUGAUCGGCCACACUGGGACUGAGACACGGCCCAGACUCCUACGGGAGGCAGCAGUAGGGAAUCUUCCGCAAUGGACGAAAGUCUGACGGAGCAACGCCGCGUGAGUGAUGAAGGUUUUCGGAUCGUAAAACUCUGUUGUUAGGGAAGAACAAGUACCGUUCGAAUAGGGCGGCACCUUGACGGUACCUAACCAGAAAGCCACGGCUAACUACGUGCCAGCAGCCGCGGUAAUACGUAGGUGGCAAGCGUUGUCCGGAAUUAUUGGGCGUAAAGCGCGCGCAGGCGGUUUCUUAAGUCUGAUGUGAAAGCCCCCGGCUCAACCGGGGAGGGUCAUUGGAAACUGGGGAACUUGAGUGCAGAAGAGGAGAGUGGAAUUCCACGUGUAGCGGUGAAAUGCGUAGAGAUGUGGAGGAACACCAGUGGCGAAGGCGACUCUCUGGUCUGUAACUGACGCUGAGGCGCGAAAGCGUGGGGAGCGAACAGGAUUAGAUACCCUGGUAGUCCACGCCGUAAACGAUGAGUGCUAAGUGUUAGAGGGUUUCCGCCCUUUAGUGCUGCAGCAAACGCAUUAAGCACUCCGCCUGGGAG
rnacentral:rRNA from 1 species